rnacentral:rRNA from 1 species
CCUACGGGCGGCAGCAGUGGGGAAUAUUGCACAAUGGGGGAAACCCUGAUGCAGCGACGCCGCGUGAGUGAAGAAGUAAUUCGUUAUGUAAAGCUCUAUCAGCAGGGAAGAAAAUGACGGUACCUGAGUAAGAAGCCCCGGCUAACUACGUGCCAGCAGCCGCGGUAAUACGUAGGGGGCAAGCGUUAGCCGGAUUUACUGGGGGGAAAGGGAGCGUAGACGGCAGUGCAAGUCUGGAGUGAAAGGCGGGGGCUCAACCCCCGGACUGCUCUGGAAACUGUACGGCUGGAGUGCAGGAGAGGUAAGUGGAAUUCCUAGUGUAGCGGUGAAAUGCGUAGAUAUUAGGAGGAACACCAGUGGCGAAGGCGGCUUACUGGACUGUAACUGACGUUGAGGCUCGAAAGCGUGGGGAGCAAACAGGAUUAGAUACCCGUGUAGUC